UAACACGUAGGGGGCAAGCGUUGUCCGGAUUUAUUGGGCGUAAAGAGCUCGUAGGUGGUUCCGUCAGUCGGGUGUGAAAACUCUGGGCUCAACCCAGAGACGCCACCCGAUACUGCGGUGACUAGAGUCCGGUAGGGGAGCGUGGAAUUCCUGGUGUAGCGGUGAAAUGCGCAGAUAUCAGGAGGAACACCAACGGCGAAGGCAGCGCUCUGGGCCGGUACUGACACUGAGGAGCGAAAGCGUGGGUAGCGAACAGGAUUAGAUACCCUGGUAGUCCACGCCGUAAACGUUGGGCACUAGGUGUGGGGCCUUAUCAACGGGUUCCGUGCCGCAGCUAACGCAUUAAGUGCCCCGCCUGGGGAGUACGGCCGCAAGGCUA
rnacentral:rRNA from 1 species